GAAAAUCUCCACAGCAGCCGCGGUUAAACGCUCAUUUAAAAACACACGCAAUAACUGUAGUUGAUACAUUUUCCGUCGAAUGUGAGUUUGAUGAUGCUUCCUGUGCGAAAAUUUACCGGUGAAAGGGCCAGCCCUGACCGCACCUUUCUCCCCCAAGCAACCCCAACCAAUCAACCCGAACCCCCAUUGACGGCCUACCCCGGCCAAACCCGGAUGACACUGGGCCAAUUGUGCACCGCCCUAUGGGACUCCCAAUCACGGCCGGAUGUGAUACAGCCUGGAUACGAACCAGGGACUGUAGUGACGCCUCUUGCGCUGAGAUGCAGUGCCAUAGACCGCUGUGGCACUUGGGAGUCCAAUGGUACCAAAAAAUAUCUGCAGCAUUGAAGGUCCCCAAGAACA